UCUACGGGUGGCAGCAGUGAGGAAUAUUGGUCAAUGGGCGCGAGCCUGAACCAGCCAAGUAGCGUGAAGGAUGACUGCCCUACGGGUUGUAAACUUCUUUUAUAAAGGAAUAAAGUGAGGCACGUGUGCCUUUUUGUAUGUACUUUAUGAAUAAGGAUCGGCUAACUCCGUGCCAACAGCCGCGGUAAUACGGAGGAUCCGAGCGUUAUCCGGAUUUAUUGGGUUUAAAGGGAGCGGAGAUGGGUUGUUAAGUCAGUUGCGAAAGUUUGCGGCUCAACCGUAAAAUUGCAAUUGAUACUGGCAGUCUUGAGUACAGUUGAGGUAGGCGGAAUUCGUGGUGUAGCGGUGAAAUGCUUAGAUAUCACGAAGAACUCCGAUUGCGAAGGCAGCUUACUAAACUGCCACUGACAUUGAUGCUCGAAAGUGUGGGUAUCAAACAGGAUUAGAUACCCCAGUAGUC
rnacentral:rRNA from 1 species